GUUUCAUUGAGCCUCCAAUUCGACAUCGGCUUUGGCACAGACUCAAAACCCAUUUCUAUAAAUACCGGAGCAUGGUCCGACAGUAGCAUAUUUCCUAUAGAGGCAUCAAUACACGAGGUUCAUUGAGCAGCCAUUAUGGCCUGAGAGUGAAGAACACCGAAACGUCUGCUGCAGAGAAAAGGGUGGGACGGAAAGAAGGGAAAUAUGGAAAAUGCAAUCCAAAAAAAAUAUAAAAAGAGUAACAUUAAUCCCUUGUAGGUGUCAAGUGAAGAUGUAUUGCUGAGCGCCAUAGUCCAUUCCAGUCCUUACGUAACAAGGUUUUCCUAGUAGGUAUAUAGGACUCCAGCAUUUCUGUUCAAGGAAGGAGUUAGACCUGAUGCAUCCUGUCCUCGGUGUGGAGUGAGUCCUGCUUCCUUGCUACACAUGUUCUGGGACUGUGCAGAGCUUAAUAAAUUCUGGGCUGAUGUGUUGGUAACUAUUAAAGACGCGUACAAUAUUGAGGUCUCGGCUAAUCCAGCGACAUGUGUACAGGGAAUACUGGACAUUAAAAGCCGUCAUUAUCGUCUGGGAGUGCAACGUCUGCUUUUCCAGGCUAGAAAACUGAUUGCUAAAUACUGGCUUAGACCCCAGGCCCCAUUGAGGUUGAGGGUUUUAAGAGUGAAUAAGUUAUGAUAGCUA